UACGAAGGGGGCUAGCGUUGCUCGGAAUGACUGGGCGUAAAGGGCGCGUAGGCGGCUUGCACCGUCAGAUGUGAAAUUCCUGGGCUUAACCUGGGGGCUGCAUUUGAUACGUGUGGGCUUGAGUGCGGAAGAGGGUCGUGGAAUUCCCAGUGUAGAGGUGAAAUGCGUAGAUAUUGGGAGGAACACCAGUGGCGAAGGCGGCUACCUGGACCGGUUCUGACGCUGAUGCGCGAAAGCGUGGGUAGCAAACAGG
rnacentral:rRNA from 1 species